rnacentral:rRNA from 1 species
CAUAGCGACUAUCGUGGCAUAUCAAUAAGCGGAGGAAAAGAAACUAACAAGGAUUCCCCUUAGUAACGGCGAGUGAAGCGGGAAGAGCUCAAAUUUGAAAUCUUCAAGGUUCUACCUUGACGAAUUGUAGUUUAUAAGAAGUGUUUUCGGUUAGAGGAGUAGUGCAAAAGUUCUUUGGAAUAGGACAUCAUAGAGGGUGAGAAUCCCGUAUUUGGUCAUUCCUCCUAGCGUUGUGAUACACUUUCAACGAGUCGGAUUGUUUGGGAAUGCAGUCCAAAAUGGGUGGUAAAUUUCAUCUAAAGCUAAAUAUUGGCGAGAGACCGAUAGCGAACAAGUACCGUGAGGGAAAGAUGAAAAGAACUUUGAAAAGAGAGUUAAACAGUACGUGAAAUUGUCAAAAGGGAAGCGUUUGACACCAGUGUUGUUUUUCCGAAAAUCAAUUACGAAUGUUUUGUUUUUGAGGAGUUAUGACUUCAUCGGCUUGCUCCUUUCUUUAUGAAACUUUCUUAAUGCACUUUUCGGUUAACAAGUCAACAUCAAUUUCUUUUGUUGUAAAAGGGUAUGAGGAAGGUGGCUUUCUUUUCGGAGAAAGUGUUUAUAGCCUUGUGCCUCUGCAAUCGGAGAGAUUGAGGUCUGCAGCGUAGAUCCUUCGGGGUUAGAUACGUUUGUGCUAAGUUAUAGCUUUUUCAUAGACAACAUUGUUGACUAUGAUUUAAGUCAUUGUAGCUUACUCGCUUACUGCUAUUUUACCUACGCUUAGGAUGUUGAUAUGCAUGACUGAUAU